UUUUCUUUCUGAGUCUGUCAUUUAUUUCCCUUAAACUUUCCUCAUGGUCUUUAAUCUUUUUCUUUUUCCUCAGCUUCCUUCCGUGGCACCAACUUGUCUUCUAUCUCACUCACUCUUUCUUCUACUUCAUUAACCCUCAUCAUUAGGACCUCCAGUUUGUAUUGCAUCUCAUUUAUUUUUAUUUUUUAAAGAUUUUAUUUAUUUAUUCAUAGACACAGAUAGAGAGGGGCAGAGACACAGACAGAGGGAGAAGCAGGCUCCACGCAGGGAGCCCGAUGUGGAACUCGAUCUCGGGUCUCCAGGAUCACACCCCAGGCUGCAGGUGACGCCAAACCGCUGCGCCACCAGGGCUGCCCUGCAUCUCAUUUAAUUGAUUUUUAAUUUAGGCCUGAUUAGAUCUAAAUUCUGUAGUCAUGAAGUGUCUUGCAUCCUUUAUGCUUUUUUCCAGAGUCACCAGUAGCUUUAUAAUUGUGCUUCUGAAUUGGCUUUCUGACAUUGAAUUGUAACAGAAAUUCUGUAACUCUGUGGCAGAGAGGACUGUUUCUGAUUCUUUCUUUUGUGGUCAGUUCUUCUUUCUAGUCAAUUUGCUCAGUGCAGAGUGGCUAAAAACGAGUUGUACUUCUUAGAAGCACAAACUCCUCUCUGUAGCUUUCCAGCCAUUCUCUCUUUAUAUCUCAGGUCGGAUUCAUAGGUUUUCAGGAUGAUUUGAAAGUUAUCUAGGUAAGUUGGUGGGACAGGUAACUCUAGGGACCCUACUCCUCUGCCGUCUUGCCCCGCCCCCUCCUGUGUGUUUUGAUUGGAGCAUUUAGUCUAUUUACAUUCAAGUACAUUAAUAUGUAUUUUUUGCCAUUUUGUGACUUCUUUUGUGCUUGUUUUUUCUAGUUUUUCUCUGCCCCUUUCUUCUCUUUCUCAUUUUCAUUGUGCUGGUUUUCUUUAGUGAUAUACUAGAAUUUCUUACUCUUUAUUUUUUGCAUAUCCAUUACAGUUUUUUGAUUUGUGGUUACCAUUUGGUUUCUAUAUAAUGGCUUUUGCACAUAGCAGUCUAUAUAAUGCUGAUGGUUGCUUAAUGUUGAACUCAUUCUUUACUCCUCUCUUCUCCAUAUUUCAGAUAUUAUCAUAAUUUGCAUCCUUUUAUUUUGUGCUUGACUGAUUUUUACAAAUAUAUUUAGGUUUUUUUGUUUGUUUGUUUGUUUGUUUGUUUUUGUUUUUUGCAUUUAUGUUUCUUAUUUUUCUUACCCUCACUUUUGGUUUUUGGCUUCCAUGCAGAGUUCCCCUUGACGUUUCUUAUAGGGCUGGUUUAGUGAUCAUGAAUUCUUUCAAAUUUUGUUUUUCUAAGAAACUCUUUAUUUUUCCUUCUAUUCUGAAUGAUGGCCUUGUUGACUAGAAUAUUCCUGGCUGCAGAUUUUUCCAUUUAGCAGUUUGUAUACAUCAUACCACUUUGUUCUGCAAAGUUUCUGUUAAAAAAUCAUAUGAUAUCCUUAUGGGGUUUCUUUUGUAUAUAACUGUCUUCUCAUCUCUUGUAACCUUUAAAAUUCUUUAUCACUAUUUUUUUUGCCAUUUUAAUUACUGUAUGUCUUGGUAUGGCCCUCUUUUUGUUGAAUUUGGUGGGGGAUCUCUGUUUCUCCUGAAUCUGGUUCUCUGUUUCCCUCCCCAUAUUCAGCAAGUUUUCACCUAUUAUUUCUUUAAAUACAUUUUCUACACACUUUUGUCUCUUUUCUCCUUCUGGAAUGCC
rnacentral:lncRNA from 1 species